CCAUCCUGCAAAGGACAGAGGAUCAGGGUCAGAGGAAGCACCGGGCAGGGAGCUGGAAGUGGUGAUCAGGUCUCUCCUCGCAGAAAGCAAAGGGACAGGUACAGGGUUGUGCCUGCUGCCCCUGAGGGGCACCACGUUUGGGGCUUCUAAUGGGGUCCUGGCUCUGCAGUGGGUGGAAGGAGAGGCCAGGAGGGACCUGUGUGGGUGCAUUUUCGCAGCCACAGUUACAGCUUUGAGAUGGCUCAGGCACACAGAGGGAGCAUACACAAGCACGUCGGGAGGAUGUUGAUUCUUGUUUAUUGAGCACCUACUAUAGGCCUAGGGUGGUCACCACCCUCUCUCACGUCAUCUCCCAGUACUGCCUUCAGGGAAAUGCUCGGGCGGCCUCAUUCCACAAGCAGGGACCCAAGCUACGAAGCAAAAUCUGGGGAACGUCUCGAGCAGCUCUUCCAAGCCCUGGACGUGGGGAGCGGGCGGAUACCUGGCGUCAGGGGCCGUUGACCAUCGGGGCCCAGCCAGACCCAGCUCCCCGUGGCCACCAGCCACAGGCCAGGUGGGAUCUGGACCAUUCUAGUGGUAUUCCAAGUUUCGUGACUCAUCUCAAGCCAGCAGGGAGAAUUAGGGAAGAAAAUCACAUUUUCAGAGCACUUGAGAGCGUUGAGGAUUUUCUCUCUUUGGGGAACGAUCUGGAUCGGAAAACAAAGAACAGGAUUCAGAAAGACCUGGAGAGGAUCCCAGCCCUGCACUUUUUGGUGAACUUCUCUGGCCUGACUGAGGCUUAGCUUCCUCCUCUGGGAAACAAGCGUAAUCAGUGUUUUCAUCACAGGCUGUUGCUGAAGCCUUUAUGAGGAUGUGUGUGGAAACGCUUCGCAAACUGUAAAGGGCUCCCGUGCCGCUAUUUUCUUCUUUAAAAGGUUGGAAUUUUUUUGUGGGGGGGAUACUGGGAAUUGAGCCCAGGGCACUUUCCCACUGCACUACAUGCCCAGUCCUUUUUAUAUUUAUUUAUUUAUUUUUAAAUUUUGAGGCGGGGUCUCUCUAAGUUGCCCAGCUGGCCUUGACCUGUGAUCCUCCUGCCUCAGCCUCCUGAGUCACUAGGGUUACAAAUUUCCUAUUUUAAAUCAGAAUCCCCAAACUUCUCUGUUCACUCUGAAAAUGCAUCAGAUGCUCUUUUUUUAUUUUGUUUUGAGUACCAGGGACUGAACUCAGGGGCACUCAACCACGGAGCCACAUCCCCAGCCCUAUUUUUCAUUUUAUUUAGAGACAGGCUCUCACUGAGUUGCUUAGCACCUUGCUUUUGCUGUGGCUGGCUUUGAACUCAAGAGCCUCCUGCCUCAGCCUCCUGAGCUGCUGAGAUUACAGGCCUGCGCCACCGCGCCCGGCCGUCAGAUGCUCUUGGACUUUGCAUAUAAUUAAAAUUAAACAUUCACUUGUCUUGACGUCAACACAAAAAUAUUAAAGAUUACAAGUUUGAUUUUGCC
rnacentral:lncRNA from 1 species